rnacentral:lncRNA from 1 species
CAUUUCUAGAAUAAAAUUUAUGAAGUUUGAAUUUAUGAUUUGCAUGGUUAAAAUUUAAAGUCUAAACGAAGUAAAUUUUACAUGAUAAUGUAUGGUUUAUUAGCAUAUAUGAACUUGUUAAUUUUCAUGUGAUUUAAAUGAUUUAAUGCUUAAAAUUAAUUCUGAUAUGUGACGUAAUUGACGGUGGAAAAGUGAUUAAGCAUGAAAUGGUGUAUAGACAUGAGAAACAUGUAUCGAUAUUGACAUGUAUAAUUCAUAAAGUGUUUUAUUAGGUUAU